rnacentral:rRNA from 1 species
GCGCACCAGGCGAGAAAACUUCACAAUGUGCGAAAGCACGAUGAGGGAAUCCCAAGUGCUUGCUCGUAAGAGUAAGCUGUUUCUCUGUCUAAAACGCAGAGAGAGUAAGGGCUGGGUAAGACGGGUGCCAGCCGCCGCGGUAAUACCUGCAGCUCGAGUGGUGGCCGCUAUUAUUGGGCCUAAAACGUCCGUAGCCGGUUUAUUAAAUGCCUGGGUAAAUCGGACCGCUUAACGGUUCGAAUUCCGGGGUAGACUGAUAAACUUGAGACCGGGAGAAGCUAGAGGUACUCCUGGGGUAGAGGUGAAAAUUCUGUAAUCCUAGGGGGACCACCAGUGGCGAAGGCGUCUAGCUAGAACGGGUCUGACGGUGAGGGACGAAGCCCUGGGGCGCGAAAACGGGAUUAGAUACCCCCGGUAGU